UGCGGGGAUUCCCAGUCCGGGUCAGCCCCAGCGCCAGCCCCGCCCCUCGAUCACGGCCGCCUUCUCCGAGCGGGGUGCGCCGCGCACGCGCACGCGUGCCGUCAUCCUCCGCCUCCGGGAGUCCUCGGCGCCCGAGACUUCCAAGCAAACCCGGGCGAGGGUUUCCUGCGUGGGCUUUAAGCCAGGCGCUGAGCAGCAGAGCAAGGAGAGGCUGCGACCGACUCAGUCUGUGGCAUGUCGUUUGCAGGCGGAAAGCCAUCUGCCUCUUAAUUUUCGGACUUCACUGCAGAAUUGUUUUCUGAAGCACUUUAGAUAUUACUGUCGGCUUGUUAGCUAACUGUAAACCACCACCACCCCCACCCCCUCCCUGGAGAUCGGCCUUUUAAGUUUUACAGCUGUUCUCUGUUUAGUUCCUGUCACCGUUCUAGGUCGGCCCAGCAAAUACUACUUCCCCAGUUUUAACAGAUGUGGAAACAACCCAGAGAGAUGAAUUGACACUCACCCCUAGAUCAAGUGGCAGAAUCUGAAACCUAACUCUCUUUCACUGAAUCCUUCCCUCGUUCCCCAUCGCCCACAGGAUAAAACAAAUUAAUCGCGAGUGAAUAACCUGUAUGUAUUCCGACUGAUUUUAGCCUACGCCACCCUGAACCAGAAAGCAUCUUUUCCACCCCCUCUCUCCUUUCUCAAGUACCCCUUAACAACUUCCUGUGCCUUUUUUUUUUUUUUUUUUUUUUUUUUUUUUUUAACCUCGCUCUGCAUCUACUUGGCUUCUGGGUACAUUAUGGAGUCCACCUCCUUCUUGCCUAUUCCAGACCACAUUUCCACUCCCGGAGAGAGAUGGGAGCUGCACCCGCCAGGCCCAGAGAUCAUCUUGAAGAAGGAGAACAAGGGGGCCAUGCAAAGAACUGGUGGAAGCAGAACCCCCAUCCUGGUCUGAACCACAGGACUCUGUACUUUCACAUAAGAAAGGGAUCCUGCUUUCUGAAUACCAUUCUUCAGUGUAACAAACCGGGGCUCCUAGAGAUUCCAGGGCUAUGGCAGGAAAAGUCCCCAAUGAGCCUGCAACAUGUUGUGCCAAGCAGUAAGGAAGUGUUCAAAGAAGGAUGGAGAUACAUUAAAGAACACAGGGGCCAACUCAGAGGAGCUCUCUAUAGCCAAACCUGGUACAAUUUGAGCGAAAAAUAGUAAUAAUGGAUUAUAACCCACAGAAUGAAAUAAAAAUUCAAGACACUAUCCCUAAAGCUAUAAAAAUAAUGGACUAGGAGAUGCCAAGUGACGUGUGUGCAUUUUUUAUUACUGUGUACUUCUGGCGACUAUAGUUUGAAAUACUAUUUUUUACCAAGUUUUAUAAAAAUGCAGAAUUUUGUUU